UACAGAGGUCCCAAGCGUUGUUCGGAUUCACUGGGCGUAAAGGGCGCGUAGGCGGUUCGUUAAGUCCUGUGUGAAAUCCCCCGGCUCAACUGGGGAACUGCACAGGAAACUAGCGGGCUUGAGUUCGGGAGAGGGAAGCGGAAUUCCGGGUGUAGCGGUGAAAUGCGUAGAGAUGUGGAGGAAUACCGAUGGCGAAGGCAGCCCCCUGGGAUAACACUGACGCUCAUGCACGAAAGCGUGGGGAGCAAACAGG
rnacentral:rRNA from 1 species